UGCAGUCAAUCAUAGUUUUUGUAAGGCAGCCAAUGACCAAUAAAGGAUACGAGUCAAUAAUGGACAAGCAAAUUCUAAGCCUCCCAAUCCCCACCAAAGAAUAAGAGAUUUGGCAAAUAAAACCAUUAACAGCAUUGAUACUUAUCCAAGAAGCAUAUCAGCGAAACUUCAUAAACAUAUUAAUUACCAAAUGAAUUUAGGUUUAUAACCUUUUUUACACUCUCCAGUUCAUUAUUUAGGUUUAUAACUUUCUUACAUUCUACAGUCCAUUAUUAUUAUUAUUAUUAUUUUUUGGGGGGUGGGGGGGUAAGGAUAAUUAUUUUAUAUCUAAAACCUGCUGGAUGAGUAGCCAUAUCAGUUUUGUCAGGAUCCAAUAAUAUAGCUGAAGAAACUUGAAUAACAUCAGAAAUCACUUACAGG
rnacentral:lncRNA from 1 species